rnacentral:rRNA from 1 species
AUUGGACGCUGGCGGCAUGCCUUACACAUGCAAGUCGAACGGCAGCACGGGUGCUUGCACCUGGUGGCGAGUGGCGAACGGGUGAGUAAUACAUCGGAACGUACCUUAUCGUGGGGGAUAACGCGGCGAAAGCUGUGCUAAUACCGCAUACGCCCUGGGGGGGGAAAGCGGGGGCUCGCAAGACCUGGCGCGAUUAGAGCGGGCGAUGCCUGAUUAGCUAGUUGGUGGGGUAAAAGCCCCCCAAGGCGACGAUCAGUAGCUGGUCUGAGAGGACGAUCAGCCACACUGGGACUGAGACACGGCCCAGACUCCUACGGGAGGCAGCAGUGGGGAAUUUUGGACAAUGGGGGCAACCCUGAUCCAGCAAUGCCGCGUGAGUGAAGGAGGCCUUCGGGUUGUAAAGCUCUUUUGUCAGGGAAGAAACACCGGCUCUAACACAGUCCGGGAAUGACGGUACCUGAAGAAUAAGCACCGGCUAACUACGUGCCAGCCGCCGCGGUAA